CGGGGAUUAUUUUGACAGAGACUUCGGUUGAAGUCGUUAUAAUCCUAGUGGCGGACGGGUGAGUAACGCGUGGGUAACCUGCCUCACACUGGGGGAUAACAGUCAGAAAUGACUGCUAAUACCGCAUAAGCGCACGGGAUUGCAUGAUCCAGUGUGAAAAACUCCGGUGGUGUGAGAUGGACCCGCGUUGGAUUAGCCAGUUGGCAGGGUAACGGCCUACCAAAGCGACGGUCCAUAGCCGGCCUGAGAGGGUGGACGGCCACAUUGGGACUGAGACACGGCCCAGACUCCUACGGGAGGCAGCAGUGGGGAAUAUUGCACAAUGGGGGAAACCCUGAUGCAGCGACGCCGCGUGAAGGAAGAGGUAUCUCGGUAUGUAAACUUCUAUCAGCAGGGAAGAAAAUGACGGUACCUGACUAAGAAGCCCCGGCUAACUACGUGCCAGCAGCCGCGGUAAUACGUAGGGGGCAAGCGUUAUCCGGAUUUACUGGGUGUAAAGGGAGCGUAGACGGAGCAGCAAGUCUGAUGUGAAAGGCGGGGGCUCAACCCCCGGACUGCAUUGGAAACUGUUGAUCUUGAGUACCGGAGAGGUAAGCGGAAUUCCUAGUGUAGCGGUGGAAUGCGUAGAUAUUAGGAGGAACACCAGUGGCGAAGGCGGC
rnacentral:rRNA from 1 species